AGGACGAACGCUGGCGGCGUGCCUAACACAUGCAAGUCGAACGGACGAGAGGAGCUUGCUCCUCGAGUUAGUGGCGAACGGGUGAGUAACGCGUGAGCAACCUGCCUUUCAGAGGGGGACAACGGUUGGAAACGACCGCUAAUACCGCAUGAUGCAUUUUGGUCGCAUGAUCGGGAUGCCAAAGAUUUAUCGCUGAAAGAUGGGCUCGCGUCUGAUUAGAUAGUUGGUGGGGUAACGGCCUACCAAGUCGACGAUCAGUAGCCGGACUGAGAGGUUGAACGGCCACAUUGGGACUGAGAUACGGCCCAGACUCCUACGGGAGGCAGCAGUGGGGAAUAUUGGGCAAAGUGGGGGAAACCCUGACCCAGCAACGCCGCGUGAAGGAAGAAGGCUUUCGGGUUGUAAACUUCUUUACCAGGGACGAAGGACGUGACGGUACCUGGAGAAAAAGCCACGGCUAACUACGUGCCAGCAGCAGC
rnacentral:rRNA from 1 species